CGACCCGCUUCCUUCCCUUUCUUGUUGGAAGCAACGGCCAUACGGACAGCCGGGUCAACCGCCGA
rnacentral:sRNA from 12 species